rnacentral:misc_RNA from 1 species
GAACCUGCGGAAGGAUCAUUGUCGGUGACCCGUGAAAAAACGACCGGAGCACACGUGAUAGAACACCGCUGGAGCGGCGGCGCCGCACCAGCCAACCGGCCACAGUCCUCGUGCCCUCCGGCGCGUCGGCUGCGGGCUGAUUACGGCGUGGGCUGACGCCAAGUAACACGCGAUGCGGAGGCGGCGGCGGCUCGCUGGAGCGUGCCGCCCGCUGCCGACGCGAAGGAAAUUAACAUGACUCUCGGCAACGGAUAUCUCGGCUCUCGCAUCGAUGAAGAACGUAGCGAAAUGCGAUACGUGGUGUGAAUUGCAGAAUCCCGCGAACCAUCGAGUUUUUGAACGCAAGUUGCGCCCGAGGGUCCUGCCCGAGGGCACGCCUGCCUCAUGGGCGUAAUAAGCCCAUCAACGCUCGUGUGUCUCAGCCACGUUCCUUGCGACUGGCCUGGCCCGAUGCGGAUGAUGGCCCUCCGAGCCCGAGGGCACGGCGGGCCCAAGUGUGCGUCGGUCGGAUGUGGCCGGGAGCGGCGAGUGGUGGGAUCCUGCGCGCGCCGCCCCGUGCCUGUGCCGGCGUCGGGCGUUUUGCUUUGACCCCGUACGAGGAGCUCGUUGUCGGCGCG